UUAAGCGACUAAGCGUACACGGUGGAUGCCCUGGCAGUCAGAGGCGAUGAAGGGCGUGCUAAUCUGCGAUAAGCGCCGGUAAGGUGAUAUGAACCGUUAUAACCGGCGAUACCCGAAUGGGGAAACCCAGUGUGAUUCGUCACACUAUCAUUAACUGAAUCCAUAGGUUAAUGAGGCGAACCGGGGGAACUGAAACAUCUAAGUACCCCGAGGAAAAGAAAUCAACCGAGAUUCCCCCAGUAGCGGCGAGCGAACGGGGAGGAGCCCAGAGCCUGAAUCAGCAUGUGUGUUAGUGGAAGCGUCUGGAAAGUCGCGCGAUACAGGGUGACAGCCCCGUACACAAAAGCGCAUGUGUUGUGAGCUCGAUGAGUAGGGCGGGACACGUGGUAUCCUGUCUGAAUAUGGGGGGACCAUCCUCCAAGGCUAAAUACUCCUGACUGACCGAUAGUGAACCAGUACCGUGAGGGAAAGGCGAAAAGAACCCCGGCGAGGGGAGUGAAAAAGAACCUGAAACCGUGUACGUACAAGCAGUGGGAGCACAGGUUUACCUGUGUGACUGCGUACCUUUUGUAUAAUGGGUCAGCGACUUAUAUUCUGUAGCAAGGUUAACCGUAUAGGGGAGCCGUAGGGAAACCGAGUCUUAACCGGGCGUUAAGUUGCAGGGUAUAGACCCGAAACCCGGUGAUCUAGCCAUGGGCAGGUUGAAGGUUGGGUAACACUAACUGGAGGACCGAACCGACUAAUGUUGAAAAAUUAGCGGAUGACCUGUGGCUGGGGGUGAAAGGCCAAUCAAACCGGGAGAUAGCUGGUUCUCCCCGAAAGCUAUUUAGGUAGCGCCUCGUGAAUUCAUCUCCGGGGGUAGAGCACUGUUUCGGCUAGGGGGCCAUCCCGGCUUACCAACCCGAUGCAAACUGCGAAUACCGGAGAAUGUUAUCACGGGAGACACACGGCGGGUGCUAACGUCCGUCGUGAAGAGGGAAACAACCCAGACCGCCAGCUAAGGUCCCAAAGUCAUGGUUAAGUGGGAAACGAUGUGGGAAGGCCCAGACAGCCAGGAUGUUGGCUUAGAAGCAGCCAUCAUUUAAAGAAAGCGUAAUAGCUCACUGGUCGAGUCGGCCUGCGCGGAAGAUGUAACGGGGCUAAACCAUGCACCGAAGCUGCGGCAGCGACACUGUGUGUUGUUGGGUAGGGGAGCGUUCUGUAAGCCUGUGAAGGUGGCCUGUGAGGGUUGCUGGAGGUAUCAGAAGUGCGAAUGCUGACAUAAGUAACGAUAAAGCGGGUGAAAAGCCCGCUCGCCGGAAGACCAAGGGUUCCUGUCCAACGUUAAUCGGGGCAGGGUGAGUCGACCCCUAAGGCGAGGCCGAAAGGCGUAGUCGAUGGGAAACGGGUUAAUAUUCCCGUACUUGGUGUUACUGCGAAGGGGGGACGGAGAAGGCUAUGUUGGCCGGGCGACGGUUGUCCCGGUUUAAGCGUGUAGGUGUGUGUUCCAGGUAAAUCCGGUUCACUUUAACACUGAGGCGUGAUGACGAGGCACUACGGUGCUGAAGCAACAAAUGCCCUGCUUCCAGGAAAAGCCUCUAAGCAUCAGGUAACAUCAAAUCGUACCCCAAACCGACACAGGUGGUCAGGUAGAGAAUACCAAGGCGCUUGAGAGAACUCGGGUGAAGGAACUAGGCAAAAUGGUGCCGUAACUUCGGGAGAAGGCACGCUGACACGUAGGUGAAGUGAUUUACUCAUGGAGCUGAAGUCAGUCGAAGAUACCAGCUGGCUGCAACUGUUUAUUAAAAACACAGCACUGUGCAAACACGAAAGUGGACGUAUACGGUGUGACGCCUGCCCGGUGCCGGAAGGUUAAUUGAUGGGGUCAGCGCAAGCGAAGCUCCUGAUCGAAGCCCCGGUAAACGGCGGCCGUAACUAUAACGGUCCUAAGGUAGCGAAAUUCCUUGUCGGGUAAGUUCCGACCUGCACGAAUGGCGUAAUGAUGGCCAGGCUGUCUCCACCCGAGACUCAGUGAAAUUGAACUCGCUGUGAAGAUGCAGUGUACCCGCGGCAAGACGGAAAGACCCCGUGAACCUUUACUAUAGCUUGACACUGAACAUUGAGCCUUGAUGUGUAGGAUAGGUGGGAGGCUUUGAAGCGUGGACGCCAGUCUGCGUGGAGCCGACCUUGAAAUACCACCCUUUAAUGUUUGAUGUUCUAACGUGGACCCGUAAUCCGGGUUGCGGACAGUGUCUGGUGGGUAGUUUGACUGGGGCGGUCUCCUCCUAAAGAGUAACGGAGGAGCACGAAGGUUGGCUAAUCCUGGUCGGACAUCAGGAGGUUAGUGCAAUGGCAUAAGCCAGCUUGACUGCGAGCGUGACGGCGCGAGCAGGUGCGAAAGCAGGUCAUAGUGAUCCGGUGGUUCUGAAUGGAAGGGCCAUCGCUCAACGGAUAAAAGGUACUCCGGGGAUAACAGGCUGAUACCGCCCAAGAGUUCAUAUCGACGGCGGUGUUUGGCACCUCGAUGUCGGCUCAUCACAUCCUGGGGCUGAAGUAGGUCCCAAGGGUAUGGCUGUUCGCCAUUUAAAGUGGUACGCGAGCUGGGUUUAGAACGUCGUGAGACAGUUCGGUCCCUAUCUGCCGUGGGCGCUGGAGAACUGAGGGGGGCUGCUCCUAGUACGAGAGGACCGGAGUGGACGCAUCACUGGUGUUCGGGUUGUCAUGCCAAUGGCACUGCCCGGUAGCUAAAUGCGGAAGAGAUAAGUGCUGAAAGCAUCUAAGCACGAAACUUGCCCCGAGAUGAGUUCUCCCUGAGACUUAGAGUCUCCUGAAGGAACGUUGAAGACGACGACGUUGAUAGGCCGGGUGUGUAAGCGCAGCGAUGCGUUGAGCUAACCGGUACUAAUGAACCGUGAGGCUUAACCUU
rnacentral:rRNA from 1 species